UUCCUACGGGAGGCAGCAGUGGGGAAUAUUGCACAAUGGGGGGAACCCUGAUGCAGCGACGCCGCGUGGGUGAAGGAGUACUUCGGUACGUAAAGCCCUAUCAGCAGGAAAGAAAAUGACGGUACCUGACUAAGAAGCCCCGGCUAACUACGUGCCAGCAGCCGCGGUAAUACGUAGGUGGCAAGCGUUGUCCGGAUUUACUGGGUGUAAAGGGCGUGCAGCCGGAGAGACAAGUCAGAUGUGAAAUCCACGGGCUCAACCCGUGAACUGCAUUUGAAACUGUUUCCCUUGAGUGUCGGAGAGGG
rnacentral:rRNA from 1 species